rnacentral:rRNA from 1 species
AUUGAACGCUGGCGGCAUGCCUUACACAUGCAAGUCGAACGGUAACAGGUCUUCGGAUGCUGACGAGUGGCGAACGGGUGAGUAAUACAUCGGAACGUGCCUAGUAGUGGGGGAUAACUACUCGAAAGAGUGGCUAAUACCGCAUGAGAUCUACGGAUGAAAGCAGGGGAUCGCAAGACCUUGUGCUACUAGAGCGGCCGAUGGCAGAUUAGGUGGUUGGUGGGAUAAAAGCUUACCAAGCCGACGAUCUGUAGCUGGUCUGAGAGGACGAUCAGCCACACUGGGACUGAGAAACGGCCCAGACUCCUACGGGAGGAAGCAGUGGGGAAUUUUGGACAAUGGGCGAAAGCCUGAUCCAGCAAUGCCGCGUGCAGGAUGAAGGCCUUCGGGUUGUAAACUGCUUUUGUACGGAACGAAAAGCCCCGGGUUAAUACCCUGGGGUCAUGACGGUACCGUAAGAAUAAGCACCGGCUAAUUCCGUGCCAGCCGCCGCGUAA